rnacentral:tRNA from 1 species
GGUGGAGUGACCGAGUGGCCAGGUCGCGGUCCGCAAGACCGUGCACGCAGGUUCGAUUCCUGCCUCCACCUCAA